UACGUAGGGGGCAAGCGUUGUCCGGAUUUAUUGGGCGUAAAGAGCGUGUAGGCGGCUUUGCAAGUCCGUUGUGAAAACUCGAGCUCAACCUCGAGACGCCGGUGGAAACUGCAAAGCUAGAGUCCGGAAGAGGAGAGUGGAAUUCCUGGUGUAGCGGUGAAAUGCGCAGAUAUCAGGAAGAACACCUAUGGCGAAGGCAGCUCUCUGGGACGGUACUGACGCUGAGACGCGAAAGCGUGGGGAGCGAACAGG
rnacentral:rRNA from 1 species